rnacentral:rRNA from 1 species
ACGGAGGGUGCAAGCGUUGUUCGGAUUCACUGGGUAUAAAGGGUGCGUAGGCGGCCUCAUAAGUCAGAGGUGAAAGCUGCCGGCUUAACUGGCAAAUUGCCUUUGAGACUGUGAGGCUUGAGUCCGGGAGAGGAAGGCGGAAUUCCAGGUGUAGCGGUGAAAUGCGUAAAUAUCUGGAGGAACACCGGUGGCGAAGGCGGCCUUCUGGUCCGGUACUGACGCUGAGGCACGAAAGCCAGGGGAGCAAACGG